UACGAAGGGGGCUAGCGUUGCUCGGAAUUACUGGGCGUAAAGCGCACGUAGGCGGAUUGUUAAGUCGGGGGUGAAAUCCUGGAGCUCAACUCCAGAACUGCCUUCGAUACUGGCGAUCUCGAGUCCGGGAGAGGUGAGUGGAACUGCGAGUGUAGAGGUGAAAUUCGUAGAUAUUCGCAAGAACACCAGUCGGCGAAGGCG
rnacentral:rRNA from 1 species